rnacentral:lncRNA from 10 species
CGCUGGCUGACAAGAAGAACUAUGCUUACAUAAAUAUGGAAGAUUGAACUGAGCGCUUAUACUGCUUGACAGAGUGAUUAGUCUGAAUAACAACAAGGAGAAAGAGAAACAGAAGCUUGACUUCAUCUUUAAUGAAACUGGGUGGCAUGCAUAAACCAUAGUUGCAAUGCAUGAAGACUGAAGGAGGCCGGGUGCAGUGGCUCACACCUGUAAUCUCAGCACUUUGGGAGGCCAAGGUGGGCGGAUCACCUGAGGUCAGGAGUUCGAGACCAGCUGGGCCAACAUGGUAAAACCCUGUCUCUACUAAAAGUACAAAAAUUAGCCAGGCAUGAUGGCGGGUGCCUGUAAUCCCAGCCACUUGGGAGGCUGAGGCAGGAGAAUUGCUUGAACCUGGGAGGCAGAGGUUGCAGCAAGCUGAGAUCGUGCCACUGUAUUCCAGCCUGGGUGACAGAGCCAGGCUCCAUCUCAAAAAAAAUAAAUAAAUAAAGACUGAAGGUGGAUGAAUGAGUGACAACAGACAGCAGAACGGAGUACGGUGAAGGCUUCAGGGAGGAUGUGAUGAGAAGCAGGAUAGCUGGUACCUUCAGGACUUUGGGAAGCCUUGAGAAUCAGAGGUGCUGGGUAAUGUAGAAGACAGGCACAAAACAAAGACAACUUCGGGAGGCCAAGGCAGGUGGAUCACUUGAGCCCAGAAGUUCAAGACCAUUCUGGGCAACAUGGUGAAGCCCCAUCUCUACAACCAGAAAAUAUAAAAAGUAGCCUGGCAUGGUGGUAUGAUCCUAUAGUCCCAGCAACUCAGGAGGCUAAGGUGAGAGGAUCGCUUGAGCCCAGGAGUUUGAGUCUGCAGUGAGCUAUGAUCAUGCCACUGCACUCCAGCCUGUGUGACAGAGCAAGACUCUGUCUCAAGAAAAUAAAAAUAAAUAAAAUUUAAAAAUAAACAAAACAAAGAAAAGAAGAGAUUAACCAUUCCUUCAUCCCUCCCUGACAUUUGCUUCCUCUAUUCUCUUUUUUCUCUAAUGUUCACCUUAUCUUAUGUAAAAUGUAGAUUUAGUGGGCACCAACUGAAGUCUCACAAGUAUGUAACCAUUAGUCUCACUGUCAUGCUCCCCCCGCCACCACCAAUUUUUAAGGAAAAUGUAGAAUACUAAACCUCCUGAGAACUUCUUUGGAAAAACAGCCAGAGAUAUGUCUGUGACUCAUGUUUUUCCUGGAUGCACCCUCAAGCUGGAUCAAUAAACCUCAAUUCAUUGGGACACUUGCCUCUGUCACCCAUUUGGUUGUCCAUAGCUCAAUGGCAUUAAGACAACGUAAAAUUCAGCUAACAUAUUUUGGGUAAGAGAAUGAUGCUGAUGAGAUGUUAUUCAGCCUCUUCACUCUAUAAUUAUCUGAUUUAGCCUAAGGCUAGCUUUUAAGGAAUUGGAUGUGUGAAAGGAACAUAAAAUCUCAGGACCCCUAAGUCACUCUGCCAAAGGGAAAAUUUAAGCUUGGGAGCUGAGUCCCACAAAACUGCCUUCCAUUUUGUUCCUAAAUAGCUGCAAAGCUAGAAGGUCACAUAUCUCCCUGGGGACCUCCCUCACAAAUUGCUCACAAGGAAAUUCUUUGUGGGCCCCAAGAUCUUUACCUUGAAACAGAGUUCUGUUGAACUUCACCUUGACAAUGUAAAUGAACAGCUUACCUUCACAGGUACAGGACAAAGACAGGACUAGAAGUCACCCCUCCGCUCACAUGAGACAAAUGCAUAGUUGACUGUUCCUCUGAGAUAUGAAUAGCACGGGGUAGUUGCAGGAGGGUGGAAAAUAAGAACUAGGCAAACUUACCACAGGAUAACAGAAAACCCAAAAUAAGGGAAAGAAAAUGGCCAAAACUCCAGUCAGGGUGAGAGGUCCAUGGCUCUUCCAGGCAAACCCAAAUAAUGGAGAAAGGGAGCCAUAACUGGGAGGUCCCUGAAAUCCCCCUUUUCCAGAAUACCUAAUGAUUAUCCUACCCCCUAAUUAAAGAAACAUCCAUAAAAUUAGAAACCCAAGCUCCAUUGUGUGUGACUGAU